CCGACGAAGGGCGGCCCGAGCGCGGCCCCGCUCCGCUCCUGUCCGCCUCCCGGGCAGACGGCGGCGGCGCGGCGGGGCGCGAUGGCGGCCGGGCUGGGGCCGUGGCUGCUGGCCUUGGCCUUGGGGCCGGCAGGUGCACUACUGAGAGAUGAAAUCCAAGCGAAGAAGUCUGCAGUGAUGGUACGAGCAGGGCAAACAGAGACCCUGCAAUGUACCUAUAACUCCAGUGCUUCCUAUAUUUACGUGGCCUGGUACCGGCAGCUUCCCAACAGGCCCCUGCAGUACUUGCUUCAGAGCAAGGGCCGGGGAGGCUCAUACAAACAUACGGCCCCUUCUGCCCGCCUGAGGUUUUCAUCCUGGGCUGAUGAGAGCUCUGGGACCCUAGUGAUCAGUGGGCUGGAGCUGGAAGACAGCGCACUCUAUUUCUGCUCUCUGCUGGGACCACAGUGAGAGACAGCCCUGGUUUACUCCAACAACAUCAACAUAGUUCACUGCUCCCUUCCCUAUUACCUAUUUGCAGCACAGCAAGAGCCAGGUGAUGAUAGGGACAGGAAGAAAGAGGCAGGAGCUGCAGGGAGCAGCAGAGGGGAUCAAGGUGGAGCUGAAAGGGGAAACAUGAGGCGAAAGAUUUCGAUGGGGGUUGUGAUCCUCAUACCGUGGUAGUGGAAGGAGGCCAAGGAGGGAUGUCAGUGCGGGGCUCGGAGAGCCCUCCUUUUUUGUGUGCAUGGGACUUCAGGCUGCAUCUCCACAUUUUUGCUGGCAAUAGCCUUCGGCUGGGGUGCAGCCAUGGGCAAAGCAGCAGACUCACAAGCACUAGCUAAGGUAGCCUUAACGGGGACAGGACAGGGGAGCCCGGAGACUUCUGGUAGAGCACAGGCCGUCUAGAUGGAGCUGUAACGAGGAGAAUGGAGUUAAAGGCUUACAGUCUGAUUUCUGCACGAUGCCACGUCAGGGGAGAGGAGGGAGGCCAUCGGGGAAGGCACGUGCAGGGAGAGGCUGCGGGCCGAGAGCCGUGCGUGGGGGCAGCCGCGCUGUGUCCGGCCUCGGCCCGGGCCCGUCGUGCACGGAGGGCUGCGCGGGGAUCAGCCCAGGGCCCGGAGCCUCCGAGUGCCGGGGCGCCGCGCUCCGCCUCUGCCCCCCGCGCUGCCCCGCGCCCCGCCCCGCGCCCGCCCCGUCCUCCGCCGAAGGGGCCGCGGGGC